GAAAGACAAAAGAAACAAAGAAGAAACAGAACAGAAGCAUUUCGAAACAGGGAAAGAAAAAGAAAGAAAGAAAAGGGAAAGGAAAAACUAGGGUUUUAAGGUUUGAAGCUUUAAAAGCCAACAAAGAACCUGAAGCAUCAGCAUCGAAAGGAAAUGAGAAAGUCAUCGAGGACUAAAACGGGAGAAUUACGGUGUGUAUUACUAUAAUUCAAAUUUUAAUUAUUAUUGAUUGCUGAAAUUUUAAUUGUUAUGUAUGGUAAGUAAGACUUGAGGUAAGUAUGUGAUUAUUUGAAAAGUGUAUUGAUUGAAAAAUAAAUAAAUGGUGACAAUUGUAUGGUGUUGAUGGUAUACACUUGUGUGAAAAUUAAUUUGUAUAUGAAUUAAGAUAAUAGAUAUUUGAAUUGAA